rnacentral:rRNA from 1 species
GACGAACGCUGGCGGCGUGCUUAACACAUGCAAGUCGAACGAAGAGCGAUGGAAGCUUGCUUCUAUCAAUCUUAGUGGCGAACGGGUGAGUAACGCGUAAUCAACCUGCCCUUCAGAGGGGGACAACAGUUGGAAACGACUGCUAAUACCGCAUACGAUCCAAUCUCGGCAUCGAGGAUGGAUGAAAGGUGGCCUCUAUUUAUAAGCUAUCACUGAAGGAGGGGAUUGCGUCUGAUUAGCUAGUUGGAGGGGUAACGGCCCACCAAGGCGAUGAUCAGUAGCCGGUCUGAGAGGAUGAACGGCCACAUUGGGACUGAGACACGGCCCAGACUCCUACGGGAGGCAGCAGUGGGGAAUCUUCCGCAAUGGACGAAAGUCUGACGGAGCAACGCCGCGUGAGUGAUGACGGCCGUCGGGUUGUAAAGCUCUGUUAAUCGGGACGAAAGGUCCUCUUGCGAAUAGUUAGAGGAAUUGACGGUACCGGAAUAGAAAGCCACGGCUAACUACGUG